GCUGAAUAGAAAGCAAAGCUGGCUUAGAGAAUUUUUCCAGAUCGGCUACUUUGAUCUUAAAUUUGAAAUUCACUUAAAUUCUCAUUUUACUGACUAAACCUGUGAUUAAUUCUAGAGAGAGAAAAGAAAGCAUUGCCAUAAAAUAACUCAUGUAUAAGUAUAGAGAAUAAAUAUGAUUUUAAUUACAAUGAUGCUCUAACAGGCUUAUCCACUAAAUUUGGAUUUUUUGCUAAUUAAA